rnacentral:rRNA from 1 species
CAUCACAUCCUGGCGCUGAAGAAGGUGCCAAGGGUCGGUCUGUUCGCCCGUUAAAGUGAUACGCGAGCUGGGUUCAGAACGUCGUGAGACAGUUC